ensembl:rRNA 5S_rRNA 5S ribosomal RNA
GCUUACGGCCAUACCACCCUGAACACGCCUGAUCUCGUCUGAUCUCGGAAGCUAAGCAGGGUCGGGCCUGGUCAGUACUUGGAUGGGAGACCGCCUGGGAAUACCAGGUGCUGUAAGCU